rnacentral:rRNA from 1 species
GACGAACGCUGGCGGCGUGCUUAACACAUGCAAGUCGAACGGAAAGGCCCUGCUUUUGUGGGGUGCUCGAGUGGCGAACGGGUGAGUAACACGUGAGUAACCUGCCCUUGACUUUGGGAUAACUUCAGGAAACUGGGGCUAAUACCGGAUAGGAGCUCCUGCUGCAUGGUGGGGGUUGGAAAGUUUCGGCGGUUGGGGAUGGACUCGGGGCUUAUCAGCUUGUUGGUGGGGUAGUGGCUUACCAAGGCUUUGACGGGUAGCCGGCCUGAGAGGGUGACCGGCCACAUGGGGACUGAGAUACGGCCCAGAGUCCUACGGGAGGCAGCAGGGGGGAAUAUUGCACAAUGGGCGGAAGCCUGAUGCAGCAACGCCGCGUGCGGGAUGACGGCCUUCGGGUGGUAAACCGCUUUCGCCUGUGACGAAGCGUGAGUGACGGUAAUGGGUAAAGAAGCACCGGCUAACUACGUG